UGUGGUCGAUGGCAGGUUGAAUAUAAGCCAGUAGCAUGCCCUGGCAGCCAAAAGGGCCAACCCUACCCUGGGUUGCAUCAGGAACAGCACUGCUAGCUGGCUGAGAUCCUGAUCAUCUUCCUUUGUAGCCACUGUUAAUUGUUCCAGCCAUCUACUAGCAGUGAACCACGUUACUGGAGACAUGCAAAAUGGCCAUUAAGCAUCAUGACCUUACUGACAAUGCAUGAGAGUCAUGUACACUGGCAUCACAAUGGGAGGUUCUUUUUCCUGCAUGCCUAUAGUUUUACCAUAUAAGAGGGAGCGUCAGGUGCUCAUUUACAGUAGCUGCGACAGCUGCCCAAAUGGAGGAGAGAGAUCUGGGGGUGCUACAAAGGCCAAGUGGAAGCACAAAGGAAGAACCCAUGCGUUUUCUCCUCCUACCAGCCUCCCUGCUUAUACCAGAGCCAGGAGGGGUGAAGGGAAAAAGACCCUGAUGGCAGUGGCUGAUGCUGCCAGCAGGAGUCCCCAGGAAGCACAGCUUAAUGGAGGGCUGGUACCCAGGUGGAGGAGAGAAGAAACAGCAGGAGGACUGCAUGGUCAAGGGAGCAAGAAGGAGGCAAGGAGCAGAACAGAUGGGGGGAAGAGACAAAAUAAAUAACAGGAGGAGACAGCAGGAUCAGUGUAACUCCAAAAGCACAAAUUCCUUUUGUUAUAUGCAAAACAAAUGAGUAUUUUCAUGACACUCUCUCCACCCCACACAUAUUGUAGGCUAUGCAGGCUGGUGCACUGUGAAGGUAGGGAGGAGCUGGCACACUGGUGAAGGGCAGGGGAAAAGUUGUAGCCCUACUCUCAAGCUCUGGCUCAUUGUGAUAAAACCUGGGUGUGGGAAGAUCAAUGGUUUGUGUCAGAGGAACUCAAAUGGCUAGUGAACAGCCCAGAACUGUGGGAGUGACUGAGGAUGGAUAAAGCAAUGCUUUGCCUGUCUAAAUCACCUUUCACCUGAGGGCAUCUGAAUCCUUUUUUUUCCACACACUAAUUAUUUAGUUUCCAAAUUAAAGAAACACCUUGCAGAGAGGGCCAUGACAAGCAGAAAAACUAUGCCUACAUCAAGUCAGAAAACAGGUUAAUUGUACUGCUAGGAACAG